AAAAAUAACAAGGAAAGAAAUCCGUUAGUAACUUCUUUAACUGCAAGUUUAAAUGUUUUUAAAAUAGAAUAUUACUUAAAUUCCUAAAACAUAAAACCCUAAUUCUUUCCUCCUUCUCAUUUCUCUUUUCCCUCACCCCGACCCAUUUCUCUCCCAGCACUCUGACGGCGCCCCUACCCUCACUCCCAGUGGUGCCCAUGACUGUCGCCAUCCCCUACUUUCGCUGGCCGCCACCUCUGCCUGCACUGUCCCCUUGCGCGAGCUGCGCACCCUCUCCCUUUCACGAGUUAUGUGCUUUCUGCUGCCCUACCCACCCUUUUACGAGCUGCGCCCCUUUCUCCCUCACACCAUCGCCCUCUUCGCCUCAAACCCCACUGCAAAAUUCCCCAGCUCUACCCCAAACUAGCCUGGUAAAGCCCCCGACCCAGCUUCUUUUUUUUUUUUUUUUAAUUUCCUGGUUUUAAGUGUUAGGUGCACCUUACCGGCGGGACAUCUUUUAUCGAAUGGGUCUAUCUGUCAAGGAUAUAGUGGCAUUAUUUGGGGGUCACACUCUGGGAGCUGCUAAAAGGGUAAUCAAAAGGACUAUUAAAGCUUGUAACAGACAGGGCUUUGUCGGAUGACCUUGAGUUCCGCCAGUAUGUAGAGCUUUAUGCAAAGGCUUCUGUUGUUGUGAAUUGGAACUGCUUGGCUUGCGCGUAUUACUCAAAUAUUUAUACAAACUAUGUAAAUUUUUUUUUUUUUUGUUCUUCAUAUAUAAUUAUAAUUC